AAAUGCGAUAAGUAGUGUGAAUUGCAGAAUUCAGUGAAUCAUCGAAUCUUUGAACGCACAUUGCGCCCCUUGGUAUUCCAUGGGGCAUGCCUGUUCGAGCGUCAUUUGUGCCCUCAAGCUCUGCUUGGUGUUGGGUGUUUGUCCCGUCUCCGCGCGUGGACUCGCCCCAAAGUGAUUGGCAGCCGGCGUACUGGUCCCGGAGCGCAGCACAUGUCGCGCAAACGAGUGCCUUGGUACGGCGGCGUCCAUAAGCCCCUCUCUCACGCUCUUGACCUCGGAUCAGGUAGGGAUACCCGCUGAACUUAAGC
rnacentral:misc_RNA from 1 species